rnacentral:rRNA from 1 species
GGGUUGUGAGGUUAAGCGACUAAGCGUACACGGUGGAUGCCCUGGCAGUCAGAGGCGAUGAAGGACGUGCUAAUCUGCGAUAAGCGUCGGUAAGGUGAUAUGAACCGUUAUAACCGGCGAUUUCCGAAUGGGGAAACCCAGUGUGUUUCGACACACUAUCAUUAACUGAAUCCAUAGGUUAAUGAGGCGAACCGGGGGAACUGAAACAUCUAAGUACCCCGAGGAAAAGAAAUCAACCGAGAUUCCCCCAGUAGCGGCGAGCGAACGGGGAGCAGCCCAGAGCCUGAAUCAGUGUGUGUGUUAGUGGAAGCGUCUGGAAAGGCGCGCGAUACAGGGUGACAGCCCCGUACACAAAAAUGCACAUGCUGUGAGCUCGAUGAGUAGGGCGGGACACGUGGUAUCCUGUCUGAAUAUGGGGGGACCAUCCUCCAAGGCUAAAUACUCCUGACUGACCGAUAGUGAACCAGUACCGUGAGGGAAAGGCGAAAAGAACCCCGGCGAGGGGAGUGAAAAAGAACCUGAAACCGU